rnacentral:rRNA from 1 species
GAUGAACGCUGGCGGCGUGCCUAUCCCUUCCAGUCGGGCGGAAGGACGAGAAACUUGCUUCUCUGAUGUUAGCGGCGGACGGGUGAGUAACACGUUGAUAACCUACCUAUAAGGCUGGGAUAACUUUGGGAAACCGGAGCUAAUACCGGAUAAUAUUUUUAACCGCCUGGUUCAAAAGUGAAAGACGGUCUUGCUGUCACUUAUAGAUGGAUCCGCGCUGCAUUAGCUAGUUGGUAAGGUAACGGCUUACCAAGGCAACGAUGCAUAGCCGACCUGAGAGGGUGAUCGGCCACACUGGAACUGAGACACGGUCCAGACUCCUACGGGAGGCAGCAGUAGGGAAUCUUCCGCAAUGGGCGAAAGCCUGACGGAGCAACGCCGCGUGAGUGAUGAAGGUCUUCGGAUCGUAAAACUCUGUUAUUAGGGAAGAACAUAUGUGUAAGUAACUGUGCACAUCUUGACGGUACCUAAUCAGAAAGCCACGGCUAACUACGUG